UGCUAACCGCUGUCCCGAGGUCCUCGCGGAUGCCCACGAGGGAAGGAGGGGGAGCUGGAGGUGCUGCAGCGCUUCUGUCGAGGCUGCUCUCCCGGUUAGAGGUGGACUCGCUCAUAACAAAAAAAAAAGCACUGCUUCACUGAGAAGUUGACGGGCUUAAAAGCAAUGCAAUACACGGCCUUCCUAUAACCUUUUGCUGCACCGAUCACCGUUAAGAAAUGAUGAGCGUUGAGAGGAAAAACGGGGCCUUGGCUCUCUUUGCAUCACCUCAGGAGUGAAAGCCUUCAGAAAACCACCAGGUUUUGCAAGAGCUGCCAUGAAGUGCAAGCACAGCUGCCAUGGAGACCGGGCCUGGCGUCGCCCGCUUUCCCACUUACACCCCCGCCAGCAAGGCUCCAGCCCAGUGAGUUAUUGCAGUAAUUAAUAGCCAGCACUUCCACGUAGUCAGAACGCUUUACAAACAACACCUAACCUCACUGAAUCACAAAUGGCCGUGUUGUCAUCCUGUCGUGGGAUCAGUACCGUUACUGCUUCCUUCAAUAUCCCUGCUGGCAUAGUGGGCAACCCAGAGCUGCCACCAGAUAGCACCUGGUAGAGAGCACAUGCACCAGGGUACUAAGCAUAUCUGAGCAGUCCAGAUGAAAUGAAGACUGCCUACAAGGAGAACAGUCUCUCCUCCUGUGUGCUGGUCUUGUACCAGGAUAAAUAACAGGAAAACAAAGCGCCAAAUGCCAGCCUUCCACAGGUUGGUCUACCGGUGAGUGGAAAGAAUGUGAAUGGAAAGAAUGCUUCACCAGCUUUGGAACUGCUAGAUUUGGAACCUCAAUGACGUUCAACACAGAAAUAAAGGAAGAUUCGAGAAAGAUAAGAAUGUAUUUUUUAACAAAGAAAGCAUAGACAACUCAGAAACGGCAAGCAAAGGUCAAUUUUCAGUAAGUGAUUCUUCUCUAAAACAGGAGAUAGACUAACUUGUCUGAUAGAAUAAGCCUCCCAGUACUCUGUACCCAAGUGGCAGAUACAGGGGGCUGGCAACACAAAUUUUGAAAGACACCAUUCAGAUCUUCAUCAAAUCCUUCAAAGAAACUUCAUAGCGGGUUGUGAGGAAAGAAGAACAACAAAGCAUGGGCCAAAAACUAAAAGAGAUGAAACAGGAGAACAAAUGGUCAUUUAAAAUGACGGUGAAAAGCCAGAACAGUGGAGUGUAUGUAAGAUCUUGUGACAGAACAUGUGUUGUAACCACCCUUACAAACAGUCUAGAAAAGGGCUGUACAGAAGAAAAAAACACUUGUAGAGGACACGAGAGCGUGGGAUGGAUGGAGGAGAUAUUCAGGGUGACCCAACAGUGCAGAACAUGAAGCAAUAUGACAAACUCAAGCAUGAAAUAUAAAACGGCUGAAGCAUAUCAGAGCAUGGGAAAAUAACUCCUGAUGAAGUUCUGGAUUGCAUUGUUACAGGUGUUCAUCCAGGGGGUGAGAAACAACCCACCUGCUGCCUUUGUUCUGCGUCAGCCACCCUCUGGGAGAGAGGCAAUGAAGACAAGUCGGGGCAGAGACCUCCUAAAUUACCACUGCACACGUGGCCGACCUUCAAGAGACCAGGCUGUAGACUGAGCCAGCUGUGGGAAAAUCAGGCAUUUAAGCAAAACACUAAGAAGAUAAAUCAGGAUGAGAUACGGGGAG
ensembl:lncRNA